rnacentral:misc_RNA from 1 species
UCAUUACCGAACUGUCGACACGAGCUGUUGCUGGCCCUCGAAAGGGGACAUGUGCACGCUCUGUCUACACAUCCACUCACACCUGUGCACCCUCUGUAGUUCCAUGGCCUGGGGACCCCGUCCCCUUGCUGCGGUCCUACGUAUUUACACACACACAGUAACAAAGUCUCAUGGAAUGCAGUCGCGUUUAACGCAAUACAAUACAACUUUCAGCAACGGAUCUCUUGGCUCUCGCAUCGAUGAAGAACGCAGCGAAAUGCGAUAAGUAAUGUGAAUUGCAGAAUUCAGUGAAUCAUCGAAUCUUUGAACGCACCUUGCGCCCUUUGGCUAUUCUGAAGGGCAUGCCUGUUUGAGUAUCAUGAACACCUCAACUCUCGUGGUCCGCCACGAUGAGCUUGGACUUUGGGGGUCUUGCCGGCCUAGCGUCGGCUCCUCUCAAAUGGAUCAGCUUGCCAGUGUUUGGUGGCGUCACAGGUGUGAUAACUAUCUACGCUUGUGGUUUUCUACCAUGUAACCUUCAGUGAUGGAGGUUCGCUGGGGCUCACAGAUGUCUCUCCUUGGGGAGGACAGCUUUUUGAACGUUUGAUCUC